rnacentral:rRNA from 1 species
AUGAGUCAAGACCAGGCUAAAGGAACAUUCAAGGCAGGUGGGGAUUGGAAUACCACAUUAACGAACUGGUCACAUGAUGCAAAAGACUUUUGGAAGAACCCAAGGGUAAAAAUUAUCCGAAUCGAGGUACUUGUAUCAUUGGUUGCUGGUGUCCUACUGUUCCUCGCCAUCUUUGGGUCCCGCCGUCGCCGAAGCAAAAAUGGUUUUCUCCAAAAAGGUCUCCUUGUCGCGUACACCUUGUCCUUCUCGCUCACAACGUACAUAAUCGGUUCCAUGCAAUCUUCUGACUUGAAGGGCGAAAUGUAUGGUAUUUGGGCCAUAUCUCUCUUAAUGCUUCAUUGCUGCACCGACUCUAUCACAAACUAUAGUCUUGAGGACAUCAGACAAAGAACAAGACUCGAAUACCAGGCUUUUGCCUACUUAAUAUACUCGUCGCUACUUCUAGCCACUGUGAUUAUGGAUAGUGGUACAAAAACCCUACCAAAUAUUUACUUCUUUCUCACCAUGAUUCCUGCAAUCGCCUUUGCCAGAUAUAUACACAGACUUGCGGUAUCUUGUCUAGCUGGUUACUCAUGGAACCUAAACAAAACUGUUGCUGAUUACAUGUAUGAUCAGCAAAAUGGGAGUGUAUCUGAUCCACCCACCAUGGAAGGUUGCCAUUACCUGGUCGACUGGCCCCUUAGCAAAUCCAAGUUUGAUGCUCCAACAUAUGCAACACAAUUAGCAGUGGAGUAUCCUGAUGAAGAAGAUAAAGUCAUUCACAUUGGGAAGAUUUGGCGGUGCCAGCAUAAGUCACUAGGCCCAGAGCUAAAAGAUGCAUGCCUUUCCUUCUCUCUUUUUCAUCUGCUGAGAAGGCGCUUCUUCGGGUUUUCCUGUGAUGAAUCCAAAGACAGGGCACGUAAUUUUGUCUUGGAGGUGCUCCUAGUGAACGGUGCCACAGACUACAAAAGGGUGUUCAAGGUUAUUGAAGUUGAGUUAGCCUAUAUGUUUGAUUUCUUCUUCACCAAGCAUGCUGUCACUUAUUACGAAUCAAUGGCUGUAACGAUUUGGUCACUGAUUUCGGCCAUCUUCAUAUCUGUCAUGGUGUACAUUACACUGAAGGCUCCGCUGAAGAUUUCUCAGGGCGAGUCCUCUGUCAUGGCCAACACAACAGUUGAUACUGUCAUCACCUUAGUUAUGCUUGCAUCCGCUGCUUUGCUUGAAUUGCUACAGCUAUGUUCUUUCUGGGCAGGUAUCAGUUUGUCAGAGAACAAGCAAGACUGA